rnacentral:misc_RNA from 1 species
AUCCUUUUAUAGCAAAGAUAAUGGCGGAGAUUUUUACCAAGGAAAUUGUUCGGUUACAUGGCAUGCCAGAGUCAAUUGUGAGUGAUAGAGAUCCUCUUUUUCUUAGCAAUUUCUGGCAAGAAUUGUUCAGAUUGCAAGGCACCACUCUCCGCAUGAGCACCGCCUACCAUUCAAAAACAAAUGGACAAACUGAAGUUUUAAAUCGCUGCCUUGAAA